rnacentral:rRNA from 1 species
UACGUAGGGUGCAAGCGUUAAUCGGAAUUACUGGGCGUAAAGCGUGCGCAGGCGGUGAUGUAAGACAGGUGUGAAAUCCCCGGGCUUAACCUGGGAACUGCAUUUGUGACUGCAUCGCUGGAGUGCGGCAGAGGGGGAUGGAAUUCCGCGUGUAGCAGUGAAAUGCGUAGAUAUGCGGAGGAACACCGAUGGCGAAGGCAAUCCCCUGGGCCUGCACUGACGCUUAUGCACGAAAGCGUGGGGAGCAAACAGG